rnacentral:rRNA from 1 species
AUACGGAGGGGGCUAGCGUUGUUCGGAAUUAUUGGGCGUAAAGAGCAUGUAGGCGGACUGUUAAGUCUGGUGUGAAAGCCCGGGGCUCAACCCCGGAAGUGCAUUGGAUACUGGCAGUCUUGAGUAUGGGAGAGGAAAGUGGAAUUCCGAGUGUAGGAGUGAAAUCCGUAGAUAUUCGGAGGAACACCAGUGGCGAAGGCGGCUUUCUGGACCAAUACUGACGCUGAGAUGCGAAAGCGUGGGGAGCGAACAGGAUUAGAAACCCUAGUAGUCC